CACCCGAGCACCUCCCGAGGGAGGCGUCCGGGGGGCAUGCAAUGUAAAUGCCCAAGCCACCUCAGCUGACUCCUCUCGAUGAUGAUUGAAAAUCAUACAAAGAAAAACUGCAGAAGAUAGAGGUGCCUCUGUCAGCAGAUCUCGCAAAGUUGGGGGACCAGGACAAACACUCUGCUGAUGAAGACACUGUCCGUGAGAAGAUGAAAGCUACCUUCACUUAUCGCCAAGCAAUGGUCAAUGAUGAAAGCAAAUCAGCAGAUGUCUUCUUGGUUUUCCCACAUUUUCUGGACACACCAGGACUUGUACAACAUCUUAAUUCAAUUGUUUCACGGCAAUUCCCAGUAUAGCCACAGUGCAGUAACUCUCAUUGUUACACUUUGUUUGUAUGUGUCUGUGUUACAGAUUGAGCAAGAUUUCAGACUUCUGUUUGGAGAGACCACUGCCAACAAAUUCUUGGAGAAGUGGCCAACUUCUUUCAAAGCUAAAGUAAUAAUGGAGAGUCAUCGACUUAUACCCACUACAGAACUCUUGGAUUUGAUGCGCAGUGCAGAGUCAGCGGCUGAAGUUGAGAAUGGUACGACAUUGUUUACUUGAUAUUUCUGAUUGCACACGUGUGCAGUGCCCUUUUUGGUAAUGGUGCAACCUUUCAAAUGAAUAUGCUAUGAUGUUAACACAUUUUUGGUUUACAUAACAAGUGACAUGUCUACUUUUUUGCUGCUGCUACAUCUACUGCCACCAUCUGCGCAAGGUCGAAAGGCCAGGAAAGAUGUUUGCAUCUCAAACUGUACAUCAGCUCAUUAAAUU